AGUUGGCCUGGGCGGGAGAAGAGUGUGGUGAGUGUUUUGUUUGUGCAGAUUCACUCAAUCACUUAGCCACUUUGAAAUGGAGGAAGAAGCUUCGAUUCUGCGACUGGAAAUUCUGCAAGGCCCUCGCCAAGGCGAAACCCUAGACUUCAAACCCGGAUCCGCUGUCCGAAUUGGGCGGGUCGUGAAGGGCAACACCCUCCCUAUUAAGGACCCUGGUAUCUCCUCCAAACACCUCUCCAUUCUCAACGAAUCUGGCAAAUGGAUCCUCCGCGACCUAGACUCCUCAAACGGCACCGUUUUGGACACUUCACAUAUUCCCCCGAACACUCCCAUCGCUCUCCACCACGACUCCACCAUCAAGAUCGGAGAAUUCACCUCCAUCCACGUCAUCUUUCUCCCUUCCCAACAACAACAACACGCUCUACCCCCCAGACGGAACCCCACGCGCCGCGGUCGAGCCAAUCCGGCUCCAGCUCCGGUUCCGGCUCCUUCUCAGCCGGUUAAGCGACGCGGCCGAGAAAAUGGUAGGGGAGUGAAGGAUGGGGAUAAGAGUCAGGUUCAGAGCGUUGAUGAAAACGAGGCGAGUGUAGUGGACGUGGAAUCUGAAUGGGUGGAUCCUCCAGCGAGGGUUACGCGGAAGUCGCACAGAGGACGGAGUGUGGUUAAAGAAUCGAGUAUUGAUAAUUUGAUUCUUGCGGAGAAGGUGGAGGAACAUAAGGAUACGCGGAAUCCGAGUUUGGUUGUGGUUUCUGUUUCCAGUGAUGAUGGUUUGGAUAAUCCAGUGGUGGAGGAACCGAAGAAAGGGCGUCGAACACGGAAUUCGAAGAACACGCGUGGAGUGGCUGCCAAAAUUGAGAAUGUUGAGAAGAAGACGAAGAUGGGUGUUGCUGAAAAGAGGGAAUUGGAUAAGGAAUCGAGUGUUGAUAUUUUGAUUCUUGCGGAGAAGGUGGAGGAGCAGAAGAGUGCGCGGAAUCCGAGUCUGGCUGUGGUUUCUGUUUCCGGUGAUGAUAAUUUGGAUAAUCCGGUGGUGGAGGAACCGAAAAAAGCGCGCGGGACACGGAAUUCGAAGAACACGCGUGGAGUGACUGCGAAAACUGGGAAUGUUGAGAAGAAGACAAAGAUGGUUGUUGCUGGAGAGAGGGAAUUGGAUGAAGAUGGUGAAGAUGGGAAUGGUGGGAAAGAGGCUUGUGAUUGGAAGGAAAAGGGGAAUUCGAAUGAAGAUGAUAGGAAUUGGCCUGAUUUGAAUAAGAUGACACUUGGUGAGUGGCUUGACUUCUUGGAAGUUCACUUCCCCAAACAGAUAAUAGAUGAAACAGAAAAGAUGUUUGAUUCGAUGACUCAAACAGCUGAGAGACUCCUCGAGUACAUCGCAGAGAGGCAAGGAUAAAAUGGCACUUGAGAGAUAGGCCAAAAUGUUAGUUUCCUUGUCGACUUUACUAGUUUAUUUAACUUGUUUUAUUUGUAAGUAUUCUUACACAGGGCAUGGUCUUCACAAGUUUAGUUCCUAUUGCACUGGCGGUUUUUCUGUCACAGAGACAUAUCUAUUACAUUUCAAGCUGCUUAAUGGAAUUUUGUUUCUAUUCUUAGAUAUGGUUUGAGGACUGCUAUUGUAUGAACUGCACUGGCUGAGGAUCUUGUGUAGGGUUUUAGUUAGAGAGCAGCUUUUCACGAACCAGUCUAAUUUUUGGAGUUAUACAAAAUCCCUAUCAUUUCUCAUUCUCAAGUUGUCCAAAGAUAUGAUGGACUGGAAGCAUCGGGUAAUGCUCGAGUUAUGUUGCAGAGGAUUUGUUAUGUAAUCAUACCCACCACCCACCAGGUGGAAGGUUAUCAUGCCAUUGCCGUCUGGUAGUGUUCUGCAUAAUUCAGAUGACCCUUUGUUGAGACCCGAGACUCCAUGAAAUUUUAGUGUCAAGUGUUUUAUGCAUUAGAGGAGUAUGCAAAACUUGAACUAUUAUUUUGUUAUAGCU